rnacentral:lncRNA from 1 species
GCCUAGCUUCCCAGGCUACAUCUUUCUACUGCGCUGUGCUGGAUGCUUCCUGUCCUUGAACAUCAGACUCUAAGUUCUUCAGUUCUGGGACUUGGACUGGCUCUCCUCACUCCUCAGCUUGCAGACAGUCUAUUGUGGGACCUUGUGAUCUUGGUUCAAGUUAUCAAGGAGAAGAGCGAACAUCACUCAAAGACCUUUCCUCUUCUUCCAGCAAGAAGGCCCUUACCAGAUGCCAGCACCUUGAAAUUGGUCUUUCUAGCCUCCAGAUCUGUCAUUCAUGCAUCUGUGAUCAGCUGCCAGACUGGGUGGAGGCUGGUUCAUCUGAAAUGACUUCAGCUAGGAUGACCUGACUCUGCUUUUUUACAUUUAAGUAUCUUCUGAGGCUUAUUCACACGACAGUAAUAGAGAUCCAAAAGCAAAAUGGGAAAUAUGCAAAAUCUUUCAAGGGCUAGGCACAAAAUUAGUCUGUUAUUUCUACCACAUUUUACUAAUCAAUGCAAGUUAUAAGGUCAGACAAGAUUUAAGGGGUGAAGAAAGAGUGGCAAAGUUGCUAUACAAAGAGGAGUGGAUAUAGGAAGAGAUAAAGAAUUAUGGUUAUUUUUGCAAUCUCAUGCAAAUAGCAUUUUUGCAAUAUAAGUUUAGUUUCAUGGCUUUAUUGAGAAAAGCUUAAAUCAAAAACUGCAGAAUCUUUUUGUGUGUGUUUUUUAUUCCCCUGGCACAUUCUAGCAUAUACUUACAAAUACCAAUUCCUGGCAUGGAUGCAGAUCAACUGCUAAUGAGAAUGCGAAAUAAUACGGCCACUUUGGAAAACAGUUUGAUAAUUUCUUAUAAAAAGUUAAUUAUACACUUACCAUGUAAGCCAGUAAUCCAACUACUGAGUUAUUUAACCAAAUGCAAUGAAAACUUAGUUUUCACUGGCAUAAAAUUCUUUCCCACUUAUUAAGCCUUCAAUCCCUUGACUUUGUCUGUUGCAGAUAGAAAAAUUAAAAGACAUAGAGGCUAAAGCCAAAUCUAGCCUACUGCCUGUUUUUGUUAAUAAAGUUUUAUUGGAACAUUGCCAUGCCAUUUGUUUACACAAUGUUUAUGACUACUUGUGUGCUGUGCUACAAUGACAGAGUUGAGCAAUUGUGCAUGAGCUCACAAGGCCCUCAAAGCCUAAAAUAUUUACUAUCUAGCCUUUUACAUAGCAAGUUUGCUGACUCCUAGAGGAUAGGAUUUUGUAAUUGUUUUUUAACAGGUCAGUGUUGAAAAUCAUGUUAAUCACUUAUGAUUGUGUUCCAUUGGCCAGAACUAUGUCUCAUGGUCACACAGUGUAGGCUGGGCUAUUUACAAUACUUGCAUGCAUAGGAAACAGAGGAAACUGAUAUUUGUAACUCUGUUAUGUCUUCACUGAUUUUCCAAAGACUGUAUCAUUCUGCAUCUACUCUCACAUACCACUUUUAAAUAUGUGUGUUUUUGACACAGUUGUAGGUUGUACAUUACUAUUUCUUUUCAUGUUUAACCCUUUAACUGGACUUGGUAAAAAAAAUCAUCUUAUUCAUCUCUAUAUUUUUAGUGUCAU